CUUCCCGCACCAGCACCAAACCGACGCUCAGAUUUUAGCCGACCUUCGGGUUUGAAGUCGCAGUCUCAGCUUUUGCUUUUGGUUCCAAUCGGUCUCCCCGUCUUGUACUGCCGUUCCGCUCGAUUCCUUCCUGAGAAUUAUCAGCUGCAAGGGAAUUUUGGAAGUGGAAGGGUGGGAUGGUGAAUUGGGAGUUGAAGCACUGCUGCAAGCACGACCAAGUCGUCUUCAUUGUGACCAUUGGCGUCUCUAUUGUUGUAAUCCUCUCUCUUUGGAGGACAGUGCUGCUAACUCCUUUCAAGCUUAUCACAGUGUUCCUUCAUGAAACGAGCCAUGCUCUUGCUUGUAAGCUAACUUGUGGUGAUGUGGAGGGUAUUCAAGUUCAUGCAGAUGAGGGUGGUGCGACACAUACACGCGGUGGAGUGUACUGCGUGAUUUUGCCUGCUGGAUAUCUUGGCUCAUCAUUGUGGGGACUAGUUUUUAUACUGGCAUCAACUAAACUUCUCACCGCAAGGAUUGCUGCUGGUUGUCUCAUUCUUGCUUUAUUUGUUGUUCUAUUCAUUGCAAAAAAUUGGUUACUUCGAGGACUUUGUAUUGGUUUCAUCAUUUUUGUUGCCAUUAUAUGGGUAUUACAAGAACUUACUCAUGUCCGCAUCCUUCGAUAUGCCAUUUUAUUCAUAGGUGUAAUGAAUAGCUUGUUUUCAGUCUAUGAUAUCUAUGAUGAUUUGAUUUCUCGGAGAGUCAACUCGAGUGAUGCUGAGAAGUUUGCCGAAAUUUGCCCUUGCCCAUGCAAUGGAGUUGGAUGGGGUGUCAUCUGGGGCAUAAUUUCUUUCACAUUUCUAUGUGGAUCUAUGUAUCUUGGACUCGUGAUUCUCUCCUAAAGGUCCACAUAGACCAAAAGGAAAAAUUAACGUCUACUUACAACCAUUGAUUGAAGAGUUUCAAAUGUUAUGGGAGACGGGUGUGCUUAUUUAUGCCAUCAAUACGAAACAAAAUAUUCAACGGAGAGCGACUCUUGUGUGCAAAUUUAAGGAUUUCCCGGCCUACGCGAUGCUAGUUGGUCGGAGCACUACAUGAGGCUGGCCAAUGAGUUAAGUCGUGCUCCCUCCAUUGCGGAGUUGCAUGUUUGAACUCAUCGACGACCUGGGGAGUGGGUCUCAGAGCAUUCACGACAGUUGUUGAGAUUGUACAAUCCGAGGGGAGGAAGGGGUGGGUUUAUGGCCUUAGAGCGAAGGGUAGCCUUCGAGGCUGAGCUCUCCCAUGGUCUCAUUCUUAGUUCCCCAAAAUCCUCAUAGUCAGACCAUGAGACUCUUGCCAGGCAGGUGACCGCAGUGAACGACAAAGAGAUUUGCCAGUUGCACGAGUAGAUGCUAGAAGACUAACAUAAAAUCAAUGCUCUAUAACAUACAUGAUGGAGACCUUUGGAGAUAGUCGGGGCAAGAGCUCGAUGACAUUCGUUCAGUAGGAGGAGGAUCAAGAGCAGGAUGUAGAUGAUAAGAAGUUUAUUUUUAUGUUGAACAUUAAAUGUGAAUUUUUUUGGAUUGACUUUAUUAUUAUUAU